rnacentral:rRNA from 1 species
CAGUAGCCACGGUAAUACGUAGGGUGCAAGCGUUAAUCGGAAUUACUGGGCGUAAAGCGUGCGCAGGCGGUUUUGUAAGACAGAGGUGAAAUCCCCGGGCUCAACCUGGGAACUGCCUUUGUGACUGCAAGGCUAGAGUACGGCAGAGGGGGAUGGAAUUCCGCGUGUAGCAGUGAAAUGCGUAGAUAUGCGGAGGAACACCGAUGGCGAAGGCAAUCCCCUGGGCCUGUACUGACGCUCAUGCACGAAAGCGUGGGGAGCAAACAGGAUUAGAUACCCCGGUAGUCCCUGUCUCUUAUAA